CGGGUGCAGCUGGCCGUUUUGAGGGCUGCCCGGGUGUGGAGCGUGCGCUCUGAAGAAGGUUCUGCCCAGCGACCUUGGGUCUUCAGAUGAAAUAGAGCUCCAGUCAAGGAGCCUCAUACACCUGGACGUGACUGAAGCAAUCCUGGACUUUCAAGGCAAUUCCAUGAAAAUAUAUGUGCUGCUGAAGCGAACACCAGCUUGGGACUUCUGAAUCAGAUGACAAAACGCCUUUCAGCUUUCACCUGGAUUUCUCGGAAUUCUUACUUUGGAAUGUUCCUUCUUGGAACCUCGCCACCAUGCUGUGAGAAGCUAAGGUCACAUGGAAAAGCCACAUGAAGAGAAAAAACAAUACUGGCCAUAUCCUAGCUGUUUUAAACAUACCAGCCUGGACAUAAAUGAAGGAACCAUCUUGGACCGUCUAGCCCCAGCAGACACUGUAUAGAAAAGAACCCAAAUCCCAGACAUAUGACCCCAGUCAAGCUGUCCCUACCAUCUCCAGCCAUUUUUGAGCCAUCACCGCUGAGGCCCCCAGACGCUGGGAAGCAAAGACAAACCAUCCCUUUUGUGCCCCGCCCAAACUUCUGACCCCCUGAAUGAGUAUAAUGAAAUGGUAGUUGUUUCAUGCCACUAAGUUUUGAGUAGUUUGUUAUGUAGGAUUAGAUAACUGAACAACAGUGAAAAGAUAAUGUUCCCAAGAUAAUGUUUCCUUCCCCUGCCUACCAAAGAAGAUUCUCGUCUGGCCUACUCAUUCUUCCCUUCCCCUGACUUCCAGGAGAGUUCUACCUUCCCAGUCUAGUUCUUAAGCUGUUCUUUGUCAUGAAGAAUUAAGAAGAAAAGAAGAAGGAAAGAAGACCACAAUGCAGAAAUUUGAGGUGUGGGGGGAAGAGAUGAAGGGACAGUUGUUGAGAAGAAAAGAAAAGCAGCUCUAGCAUGUGAAGGCAA